rnacentral:tRNA from 1 species
UGGCCCAGUUGGUAGAGCAUGGUGUUUGCAACGCCAGGGUUGUGGGUUCGAUUCCCAU